GUUGUCCUACGGGACGCAGCAGUGGGGAAUCUUCCGCAAUGGGCGCAAGCCUGACGGAGCAAUGCCGCGUGAACGAAGAAGGCCCUCGGAUUGUAAAGUUCUGUCCUUAUCGAAGAGAGGGUAUAGAGUGAAAAAUGAUAUACUAGGACGGUAGAUGAGGAGGAAGCCCCGGCUAACUACGUGCCAGCAGCCGCGGUAAUACGAAGGGGGCGAGCGUUGUCCGGAAUCACUGGGCGUAAAGGGCGCGUAGGCGGUAAUAUAAGUCAGAUGGGAAAGGUGGGGGGUCAACCCCUAGAGUGCAACUG
rnacentral:rRNA from 1 species